UAAUCGGACGCGGUGUUUUUGAGCUCGAGCACAAAUGUGCUCGAUAUCUGGGUGGUACAGUAGUGUCUCGGGAUUUGGCACAUUAAAUGGCUGGGCGAACUUCGUGAGCGACCGCAAAUAUGAAAAAGAAGAAAUACGCAUGAGCUGUGGGCCAGGACAAAGACGGAGGAACGGCGAACGUAGACGGCAGGAAGUUGAGCCGUGGCUCAACUCGUCGGUCUCCAUCCUGGUCCGUGGAUCAGGAUACGUUCUUUUCGUUAAAUCUGCCGACGGAGGAGUAAAUGUGAGGAUUUGGGGGACAGGUGGGGGCAGACCGGUGAUACCAUCGUCUCCUACCUCUCAAGCUGGAUUUUUUCAAUAGCGAGAGGGUUGAUUUUGCGGGGCUGCGAUUCCCCAAAGAAAGCCGCGUCCACAGAUCCAUGGUGCUUGAGGAGGUUAAAUGAUAGUGACGUCACAAUGGAACCCCUCCAAAUCUCCAAUACCCAGUGAGUGCGCUGAUUGUGGGAACGGAGCAGCAUCAGACACCCCGGUGAGAGCUUUGAUGGGAAGAUUUGUGUGCUGGAGGUGAAGGUGGGUCAUAGGAAGGGUUUACCGCAGGCUUCACAAACGAUAGGGAAGAUGGACCCCUGAGCUCCACGAUGGAGCUGCAGAGUGCGGAUCGGUGGAACAGGAAAGACUUUUCUGGUCUGUGGCAAACUGUCGCAGUUAACGCUCGGAGGAGGUUGGGUGUGCAGGCGUUGUUUCGUUCAUGAUGCCCCAAGAUUCUCUUCUUCCACUGCACGUAACAGGGGAGCUUGCAGCGUGUCGGGUAGUGGGGAAGAGCGGACGCAGAUGGAGUUCUUGAUGCAACCAAUUAAUAGGUAAGCCGUGGAAUCUAUCUUUUUGCAUCGAGUUUCUAAGAUCGAUCUGCCUUGUGUUCAACUGUUGUGCGAAAUUCAUUCUGCUGGAGGAGGUCAGUGACAGUGAUGUCCUGAUGGAGCCGCUCCAUCAACCUGUGCUGCAGCCGUAGGUAAGGUGGAGCAAGCAUCGGUGCGUCAUUAACUCAUUACCCUGUGAUCGCGUCCACGAGAGAGUUGGAGCAAGCGACAGCGGCGGCCCUGAGUGCGGACAUGCAGAUCUGUGAGGCGGAAGCGGUGGUGGCUGCACAAAGGGAUAGCUCACCGCAAGCGCCCGAACAAUUAAUCCGGCAAGCAUCUGGAUAGAAGCGCAGUACUGCAUGGUGUAAAAUGCAACCAUUCACAGAAGCUGGAGAUGGGCUAUGUUUGGAGGAUAGGAUUGCUCAAAAUGGAGUUGUUAUCAAACAUAUAUAUGGAGGUGAAAGGAGGUGUUGCGCAAAUCAUGCGACUGAUGUACUGCAUGAUGCAAUCAGUGGCAACAAUAAUUUAACUAAUGUGCCAGGCAAUGGUAGGUUUAUUGGCUCCUGCUAAGAGCAAGGAGAUGGGUCGACCACCGACGAGCAAGGGUUGAAGAGAAACAGAUUUUGCACCAUUUGUCGGUGGCAAGGUCAUAAGAGGACACGAGAGAAACAGAUUUCGGCAAUGUUCCAAAGCAGCCUCAGAAACCUGCAAGAACAAUGGAGUUGAGGGACUCCGUCCAAAGAAUUGUACCAGGUCUGCCGAAUUAAGGUUGACGGGAGAAAACAUAAUUUUGAUGCCAAGAGGAGCUUAGUUUAUCUGUUACAGAUUUUGCGAGGGUGUUUGUAGUGUUGUUUUAGGUUGCUACAGAGAGUGCUUAGUUUAUGUGCUUAAUGACCAGUCAUUAAUUGUUGUUUGUGAAAUGACAAGAUCAGGACUAAAAUUCAAUGUUUCUGUGUUAUACCUUUA